AGUGAACGCUGGCGGUAGGCCUAACACAUGCAAGUCGAACGGCAGCACAGUAAGAGCUUGCUCUUACGGGUGGCGAGUGGCGGACGGGUGAGGAAUACAUCGGAAUCUACUUUUUCGUGGGUGAUAACGUAGGGAAACUUACGCUAAUACCGCAUACGACCUACGGGUUAAAGCAUGGGAUCUUCGGACCUUUCGCGAUUGAAUGAGCCGAUGUCGGAUUAGCUAGUUGGCGGGGUAAAGGCCCACCAAGGCGACGAUCCGUAGCUGGUCUGAGAGGAUGAUCAGACACACUGGAACUGAGACACGGUACAGACACCUACGGGAGGGAGCAGUGGGGAAUAUUGGACAAUGGGCGCAAGCCUGAUCCAGACAUACCGCGUGGGUGAAGAAGGCCUUCGGGUUGUAAAGCCCUUUUGUUGGGAAAGAAAAGCAGCAGGUUAAUACCCCGCUGUUCUGACGGUACCCAAAGAAUAAGCACCGGCUAACUUCGUG
rnacentral:rRNA from 1 species